AUGGACCGGCGGAACCAUGGCGCCCACGGCGGAGGCAAGAUCAGGAUUGGUGUCUGCGUCAUGGAGAAGAAGGUGUCGUGUUCUCCCAUGGAGCAGAUUCUUGAGAGGCUGCACGCCUUCGGCGAGUUCGAGAUUAUAAUUUUUGGUGACAAGGUAAUUCUAGAAGAUCCCAUCGAAAGUUGGCCUUUAUGUGACUGUCUAAUCGCCUUUUAUUCAGCUGGCUACCCAUUAGAAAAGGCGGAGAAAUAUGCUGUUUUACGCAGGCCUUUUUUGGUCAAUGAGUUGGACCCACAAUACUUGCUUCAUGAUCGCAGCAAAGUAUAUGAGCACCUUAAAUUGUUCGGAGUUCCGGUCCCUACUUAUGCUGUUGUCAGAAGAGAGCAUCCUAAUCAAGAGUUAAACUACUUUAUCGAGCAAGAUGAUUUUAUUGAGAUUCAUGGAAAGCGUUUUUGCAAGCCUUUCGUGGAGAAACCCAUCGAUGAUGACCAUAAUAUAAUGAUAUAUUAUCCUAGCUAUGCUGGUGGAGGAAUGAAAGAACUGUUCCGUAAGGUUGGCAAUAGAUCUAGUGAAUUUUAUCCAGAAGUUAGGAAGGUGAGGCGAGAUGGAUCUUACAUUUAUGAGGAGUUCAUGCCUACAGGAGGAACAGAUGUCAAGGUUUAUACAAUUGGACCAGGAUAUGCACAUGCUGAAGCUCGUAAAUCCCCAGUUGUAGAUGGGGUUGUCAUGAGAAAUUCUGAUGGAAAAGAGGUCCGCUAUCCUGUUUUACUGACCCCUACCGAGAAACAAAUUGCACGGAAUGUUUGCCAAGCCUUCAGACAAGCGGUAUGUGGCUUUGAUCUUCUAAGGUGUGACCUGGGGGAGGCAAGAUCUUAUGUAUGUGAUGUGAAUGGCUGGAGUUUUGUGAAAAGCUCAUACAAGUACUAUGAUGACGCUGCAUGCAUUCUGAGGAAAAUGUUUCUUGAUGAGAAAGCUCCACAUAUUUAUACCAUUCCUGCUCAUCUUCCAUGGAGAAUCAGUGAGCCAGCGCAACCAUCAGAUGCUGUAAGAAAUCGAGAACAGGGAACUGUGGGCAUACCUACGCAGUCAGAAGAGUUGCGCUGUGUCAUAGCUGUUAUACGCCAUGGGGAUCGCACACCAAAGCAGAAGGUGAAGCUGAAAAUAACUCAAGAGAAGCUUUUAAAAUUGAUGCUGAAAUACAAUGGCGGAAAGGCCCACGCGGAGGCGAAGCUUAAAAGUGCCUUGCAACUGCAAGAUCUGUUAGAUGCAACAAGAAUCCUUGUACCACGUGCUAGAUCUGGCCGUGAAAGUGAUAGUGAUGCUGAAGUCGAGCAUGCAGAGAAGCUACGGCAAGUUAGAGCGGUUCUUGAAGAGGGUGGACACUUUUCAGGUAUUUAUAGGAAAGUACAGCUAAAACCAUCAAACUGGGCCCAUAUUCCUAAAAGUAGUGGAGAAGGGGAGGAGGAGGUUCCAAGCGAAGCCCUAAUGAUUCUUAAGUAUGGUGGUGUUCUAACCCAUGCAGGAAGAAAGCAGGCAGAAGAGCUGGGAAGAUAUUUCAGAAAUAAUAUGUAUCCAAGUGAAGGACCAGGAUUGCUUCGCCUGCACAGUACAUAUAGGCAUGAUCUGAAAAUAUAUAGUUCAGAUGAAGGUCGUGUCCAGAUGUCUGCUGCGGCUUUCGCUAAGGGUCUUCUUGAUUUGGAAGGGGACUUAACGCCAAUCCUGGUUUCACUAGUGAGUAAGGACUCGUCUAUGCUUGAUGGACUGCAGGAUGGUACUAUUGAGAUAAGUGAAGCAAAGGCUCAGUUGCAUGAUAUUAUCAUCUCUUCAAAAGUUGCAAAUGGUGGUGAUCCUGCGGGGUUUCCAUGGAUGGUUGAUGGGGCUGAUGUGUCUACAAAUGCUGCUCAGCUUCUAACAGAUUUGGCUGAGUUAACAAAAGAAAUAACUUCACAAGUGAAGCGGCUCUCUGAUGAUGAAAAUGAGGAGGUUGCAACCGAUAGUGACUCACCUAAUCAUCCUUAUGAUCAAGCGAAGGCACUAUGGAGAACAGAAAUUGACAUGGACCGCAUCGCUGCUGGAUUGCCUUGUGGCAGCGAAAGCUUCCUUUUGAUGUUUGCCCGUUGGAAGAAACUAGAGAGGGAUCUCUACAAUGAAAGGAAAAAGCGCUUUGACACUACACAGAUUCCUGAUAUAUAUGACUCUUGCAAGUAUGACCUUCUGCAUAACUCACAUCUCAAUCUUAAUGGUCUGCAUGAUCUCUUCAAAGUAUCUCAGUUGCUAGCUGAUGGUGUCAUUCCAAACGAGUACGGGAUAAAUCCGAAACAAAAACUCAAAAUAGGUUCAAAGAUAGCACGCCGUUUAUUGGGCAAGAUUCUGAUUGACCUGCACAACACCAGACGAGAGAUUACCGAGGUAGCUGCUGAAUCUAGUACACGACAUGAUCCAAUAGUAGUAUCUUCUACAAAACGAAAGGAGAGGUGUUACCAUGAUAGUGUUAGGAAUGAGAAUUUUGAAGGAUCUAGCACAGACGAGAAGUCAGUUGAUCUAGAUUCCCAUAAAGAAACAAAAUACUGCUUAGAUCCGAAAUAUGCAAAUGUGUUGGAUCCCGAGAGACGUGUUCGAACAAGGCUCUAUUUUACAUCGGAAUCACAUAUACAUUCUCUAAUGAACGUACUUCGAUACUGCUAUUUGGACGAGUCUCUGAAUGGAGAAGAGAGUCUUAUCUGCAAAAAUGCUUCAGAUCAUCUAUUUAAAACAAAGGAACUUGACUACAUGAGUUACAUUGUGUUGCGUAUGUUCGAGAAUACGGAGGUGCCUUUGGAAGAUCCAAAGAGGUUCCGUAUAGAGAUGACAUAUAGUCGUGGCGCAGAUAUAAGUUGCUUAGAGAGUGCAACUAACACAGAUUAUUUUCUACCUGAUGACCACACAAUGCAAAUUAUGGAACCGGAGCAAUUGCAAGAAGUUGGUUCAUAUCUCACCUUAGACAAAUUUGAUAAAAUGACCCGCCCAUUUGCAAUGCCAGCUGAGGAUUUCCCCCCAGCUACUCCUCAAUGUUUGGCAGUCCGCUUCUGUGAAGAUAUCGAAUCGCAAGGAGCAAGACGGCAACAUUAG
rnacentral:rRNA from 1 species